rnacentral:rRNA from 1 species
UGGUCUGAGAGGAUGAUCAGUCACACUGGAACUGAGACACGGUCCAGACUCCUACGGGAGGCAGCAGUAGGGAAUAUUGCGCAAUGGGGGAAACCCUGACGCAGCAACGCCGCGUGGAGGAUGACACUUUUCGGAGCGUAAACUCCUUUUCUUAGGGAAGAAUUCUGACGGUACCUAAGGAAUAAGCACCGGCUAACUCCGUGCCAGCAGCCGCGGUAAUACGGAGGGUGCAAGCGUUACUCGGAAUCACUGGGCGUAAAGGGCGCGUAGGCGGAUUAUCAAGUCUCUUGUGAAAUCUAAUGGCUUAACCAUUAAACUGCUUGGGAAACUGAUAGUCUAGAGUGAGGGAGAGGCAGAUGGAAUUGGUGGUGUAGGGGUAAAAUCCGUAGAUAUCACCAAGAAUACCCAUUGCGAAGGCGAUCUGCUGGAACUCAACUGACGCUAAGGCGCGAAAGCGUGGGGAGCAAACAGGAUUAGAUACCCUGGUAGUCCACGCCCUAAACGAUGUACACUAGUUGUUGGGGUGCUAGUCAUCUCAGUAAUGCAGCUAACGCAUUAAGUGUACCGCCUGGGGAGUACGGUCGCAAGAUUAAAACUCAAAGGAAUAGACGGGGACCCGCACAAGCGGUGGAGCAUGUGGUUUAAUUCGAAGAUACGCGAAGAACCUUACCUGGGCUUGAUAUCCUAAGAACCUUUUAGAGAUAAGAGGGUGCUAGCUUGCUAGAACUUAGAGACAGGUGCUGCACGGCUGUCGUCAGCUCGUGUCGUGAGAUGUUGGGUUAAGUCCCGCAACGAGCGCAACCCACGUAUUUAGUUGCUAACGGUUCGGCCGAGCACUCUAAAUAGACUGCCUUCGUAAGGAGGAGGAAGGUGUGGACGACGUCAAGUCAUCAUGGCCCUUAUGCCCAGGGCGACACACGUGCUACAAUGGCAUAUACAAUGAGACGCAAUACCGCGAGGUGGAGCAAAUCUAUAAAAUAUGUCCCAGUUCGGAUUGUUCUCUGCAACUCGAGAGCAUGAAGUCGGAAUCGCUAGUAAUCGUAGAUCAGCCAUGCUACGGUGAAUACGUUCCCGGGUCUUGUACUCACCGCCCGUCACACCAUGGGAGUUGAUUUCACUCGAAGCCGGAAUACUAAACUAGUUACCGUCCACAGUGGAAUCAGCGACUGGGGUGAAGUCGUAACAAGGUAACCGUAGGAGAACCUGCGGUUGGAUCACCUCCUUUCUA